CCCUCGUUAGCUCAGUUGGUAGAGCGCUCCACCUGUAAUGGAGAGGUCCCGGGUUCGAUACCCGGACCAGGCG
rnacentral:tRNA from 1 species